rnacentral:rRNA from 1 species
GACAGAGGGUGCAAACGUUGUUCGGAAUUACUGGGCGUAAAGCGCGUGUAGGCGGCUAUGCAAGUCGGGCGUGAAAUCCCACGGCUCAACCGUGGAAGUGCACUCGAAACUGCGUAGCUAGAGUCCUGGAGAGGAAGGUGGAAUGCUUGGUGUAGAGGUGAAAUUCGUAGAUAUCAAGCGGAACACCGGUGGCGAAGGCGGCCUUCUGGACAGUGACUGACGCUGAGACGCGAAAGCGUGGGGAGCAAACAGGG